AGUCGAGCGGUAACAGGAUUAGCUUGCUACUCGCUGACGAGCGGCGGACGGGUGAGUAACGCGUAGGAAUCUGCCUAAUAGUUGGGGAUAGCCCGGGGAAACCCGGAUUAAUACCGAAUACGCUCUACGGAGGAAAGCAGGGGAUCUUCGGACCUUGCGCUAUUAGAUGAGCCUGCGUGAGAUUAGCUAGUUGGUGAGGUAAUGGCUCACCAAGGCGACGAUCUCUAGCUGGUCUGAGAGGAUGAUCAGCCACACUGGGACUGAGACACGGCCCAGACUCCGACGGGAGGCAGCAGUGGGGAAUAUUGCACAAUGGGCGCAAGCCUGAUGCAGCCAUACCGCGUGUGUGAAGAAGGCCUCAGGGUUGUAAAGCACUUUCAGUAGUGAGGAAAGGGGUGUAGUUAAUACCUGCAUCCUGUGACGUUAGCUACAGAAGAAGCACCGGCUAAUUCCGUGCCAGCAGCCGCGGUAAUACGGAAGGUGCAAGCGUUAAUCGGAAUUACUGGGCGUAAAGC
rnacentral:rRNA from 1 species